UUCAUUGGGUGAAUUUAUCUUCAACUCUGAACAAAAGAAGGAUUACAAAUUUAAGAAGCAAAAGAAUUUGAAAUAAACAGCAAAGAAGAUAUUAUUAUGGAUCAACUGCAAGAAAAACUCACGAAGGCUAGAACUGCUUUCCUUCAGAAAAACACUCUGCAGUAGCAAAAGGAAAAAGCAAAUAUAAAAACAGCCCAGAUAUAUUGAAGCAUUAAAGCAAGACAGAAACCAGGAGGGAAAAAAAUGAGGCGUGUUGAACUUUGAACCAGUCCUCAUGAUUGCUGCAUAGCAUCGUAUAUUGUAAGUGGUGUUCCUGUCGGGUGCAAGAGCCUG